UACGUAGGGACCAAGCGUUGUUCGGAUUUACUGGGCGUAAAGGGCGCGUAGGCGGCGCGGUAAGUCACUUGUGAAAUCUCUGAGCUUAACUCAGAACGGCCAAGUGAUACUGCAGUGCUAGAGUGUGGAAGGGGCAAUCGGAAUUCUUGGUGUAGCGGUGAAAUGCGUAGAUAUCAGGAGGAACACCGGUGGCGAAGGCGGGUCUCUGGGCCGUAACUGACGCUGAGGAGCGAAAGCGUGGGGAGCGAACGGG
rnacentral:rRNA from 1 species